CCUUUUGACCGCUUCUGUAAUUUUAAAGAUAACUUUAGUCAGCUGGAAAGUGUCUGUUAAAAGAGAAUAGCUCAACUGAAACAAAUUCCUCUUGCUUUUGUCUCCAAGUGAACUGCACUGUGAAAGGACAUGAAAUGUGCAUGCCCUGCCUGAGAGGUUUGCAGCAGAAGAUAAGGUGCAAUCUGACGGUUUAGCUAUCUGUGCAUAUAGUUCCUAAUGGACACCUGACGACACCUCCAUGAAAUAUCAUCAUCGUCUAAGCAGAGCAGCAGGCCAAUCAAUCAAUGCCCAAGGUGAUUUACCUACACUCUCGUCCCUACAGGUGUUUCUCCAGAGUAGGAAUGAGGUAUGUUGGCCAGCCAAACCUAUUGCUUAUGUUGUACAUGUUCUAUGGAUAAAUAGAGGAUUUCAGUUUGCUGUGCUGUUAAUUCUUUCAUCCAUUCAAGAAUACUAUUUUUUUAAACAGCCCUUUGAUUUAGAUGUUGACUUAAUCUAAGCAUUUAGUCAAGUUCCAGACACAAAAAUAAAUUACAAAAGAACAAGUUGGCUUAUAAAUCACCCUCUAGUUAGUUUAGAUUAGAAAAUCUCCAGUAACUGAAUUAGAGAGCAUACGAAAAUUUCUGCUGCUGUUUCUGUUCUGUCCGGAGUCACCAGAGAACUGCCAGUGAAACACCUCCUGAAGAAUAGUAUGUGAUCAGUGCAGAAUGCUAACAGGAGAAUACCAAUGAUAUUAAACACCACCACGGGCCAACAGUCCAUCCCUCAUCCUCUACUUAAUGAAUGAACUGUGAAAAGCUAUUGUACAGCUUACAAGAACUGAAAAGAGGAGCUGCUUUCAUUCAAUUUUUCCUUCUUCUUUUCUAAUGCACUGUAAAUCUGACUACUGAACAAUCGAAUCAGUAGAACAUACCAGAGGAACCAGCAUGACAUUCAUUUAUUGCACUGAUGCGAACAAAAGCAUUAGUUUGUUUUUCUCAGCAGAUUGUUUAUUUUUAGAGAACAAUUCAUUUUAAUUAUGGGUGCACUAUGGUAGUGACUAAAGGAAUGGAGAAAGUAUAAUGAAGUACUAUAAACAAAGUCAUGAGUAGGGCUGGUUGAAAAUUUUCCAUCAAACUGUUUUCACUAGAAAAUUGGGUUUUCAACCAAAUGCAUUUUUUCACUAAACAUGGAAAAUUUCAAGAUGUUGUCGAAAAACAAGAUGCUUGAAAAUUGAAAUAUUUGAAUUCAGCUACCUUGGCAUGGCGCCUAAUGAAAAUUGUAGGUCAGUUUCAUCAUGUCCCCAUUUUCCUUGAUGAGCAGGACUUCCCAACCAGUCUGCAUCUCCCACAAUGCACUAUAGCAAGGGACUCCUGUGAUGCAACUUCCUACUCUCACUAUGAGGGGAGACCGUGGUUAAUCACUGAAGAUGUAUUCCAACGUGGAAACUGGCCUAUAGAGGAAAUAGGAACAUGAAGAAUCCAAACUACAACACUCAUCAGGCAUUUUCUAACUGAAAUAUUUUGUUAUUUUGCCAAAAUAUUUCAGUUUCUGAUAUUUUGUCAAAAACUUACAAUUUUCCAUAGGGAUAAAAGGCCAUUUUCUGACCAGCUCCAAUAUUAAAUUUAUUUUUGUCGGACACCUCUAAAUAGUACUCCUCCUUGCCUUCCUAGCCAUCAAGAAAGUAAAUAAUAAAACAUAGAUUUGUUAUAAUCCAAUCUCACAUGUCCACCAAGAAUGACAUUUCUGUCCUUACCGGCACUUAGUAAAUACUGAAUGCAGGUCAAGAUAAAUUAUCUUAUUGUAAUUAUUAUUGUUUUGUGACAAAAAGUCAGAAUUUUCUCCAGAGGAAAAAACAUUUUCCAAACAGCUCUAAAUAUAAACUCUUGUAAAUAAAAAUGAACAGCCAUUUUACAGCUUACGAGAACAGAGGAAUCCUUUCUUUCUGUCUUUCUGUCUUUCUUUGUAACCCACUGCAAGUUGCACUACCGGAAACUUAAUUAGUUUAUUAGAUUAACUUUAACUUAGAUUAAUCGGACUAUUUUACAUUUAAAGCAGUAGAACAUGUCUCAUACCUUAAUUAAUUCCAGUGCUAGAACAGAAUUGCCACAGAGCUACAAUCUUUCAUAUCAUACAGAAAUGCUCUCCCUCACCGAGAAAGUCUUUGUGUCUGCUGAUGAACUUGGAAAAAUAUAAAGAUAUGCAUAUAAAAUACCUAAGUAACUUCAGGGUCUUACUUCUGUAACAUAUUUUAUUCCUGCUCCCUCCAUAUUGUUCAGUAUUCUCACUUGUGUUGUCUCUGCAAUUUAGACCCUGAUCCUGCAAUAAGCUCAGUACUGGUAGGUCCAUGUAUGCCUAUACAGAGUCAUUAACAUUAAAGUCAAGAAAUCUCUUUGGAGGACUGAAGACUAUGGAAAGCCUCCCAUUGACUUCGGGUCAGGCUGGGGCCAAUCAGAUUAGGCAAGCAGUAUGUAUGUAUGCAUUCAUGAUAAGCACAUAUUUUAAUACCUGGAGUAUGAGUAUAAACAUCCACAUAACCAUUUGGUGUGCAAGUUACAUCUGCCCUUUUGCUUUGUUGUCUAGUGCUUUGUGUUGGGCUGAUUAUGUCUCUCAUUUAUGAGUCUUUAUUUUAGUCUUACUGUGUUUUGAAGUUGAGAAUUGCUCAGUGCUAUUUACACACAGAAGUAAAAGCCCAUGUAGUGCCCUGACCGUGUGAGUAAGGGUUGCAGGAUUAGUCCUAUACUUUCCACAACAAAAGAAACAUACAAGCAAACCCAAUUAUACAGAAAGACUUUGAAUAACAAUACUAGGGAUAGUGCUUUCAAUUUUUAAAUAGUCUGGGAUUUUUUCUGUGAUAUAUCUAUUCUUUUUGAUGUUAGCGAUAACCUACAUAUAUCGAUUUGCGUCCCCGGUGACCUGGUAAAGUUUGAGUAUAUGUUGGUUGUAUCUCUAUUGAAAUGCUGCUUAUAGUUCAUCCAAGAUGUUUUUGCUACACUAAUUUAUCCCUCCACAAAUUAUCCCUUGUUAGGGGGAAGAGAAAAAAAAAAACAGUGAGUGAGGAAUAUUUUCCACUGGUCUUGCCAAACCUGUUAGGGAAAGUUCCAUUUAUUCUUCCAAAGCUAAUGUUUACCUUUUCUAAUACUCCUGACUCUUUUCCUUUGAAGCCCUAAUAUUUUAAAAGUUUUACUUAUUGCUUUAAAAGUAUUACGAUGCCUGUGUGUAUUAUGUAUUCAUCACUUGCUCUGAAUUCUAGGUUAAAUAUGAAAACACGAGAAAUCAUUUGAAAACAUAAUGAUAAGAAUGAAAUUCUUGCCAAUCUCUUUUAGCAUGUGCCUGCCCUAUGCACUCUACCUUAUUAUAGGAUAUCUAUGGAAAAAAUACAUACUCAUGGAAGUAUAUUGCUAUUUUUUAAUUGUGACCUUUGCUUCAUGAACAAAGUUUUUACUCUAUUCAGUAACUAUAUUCUCCUAAUCCUAGUUUUAAAAUUAUUAAAGGAAAAUGAAGUGCAGUGUUUGGGAUUUUUGCAUAGUCAGUGUUACUUUUGCAGGUCAUUAGCACAUACUGGAAACUAUUUUGGGUAGAAAAAAUAAACAAAACCCAGGUUAUUUAAUUUCAAAGUGGUUAUUGUGCACACACAAUCUCUCAUUCUCAAUAUAAUAUUCAUAUGCAUUUUUGAUACAUGAUUGACUUUCCAUGCACAGGCAUUCAGCAGGAAAGCAUAUCUCUCCCUCUGCAAAAGAAAGAUCCUAUUGCAAAGUAAUCUACAUGGGAAAUAUUUUUAAAAUUGCAUGAAAACCGAAUUGACCUCUAAAGACCUACUAUGGUCUAAUGAAUAAAAAGUUUCCAUUUAAAAAUAAAAUCCUAUUUUUAUACCUGUAUAUACCUCAAACUGCUUUGUGCAAUCUCGCUGUACAACUAUACUGUUUGAUAGACAAAAUAAGUAAACAAUUUAUUUAAAAAUCCAUAAAUGUAGAUAUAUAUGAUAGCCUGUUAUACUUCCAAUACAUCUUAUAAACUAUGAUAAAAAUAUACAUUGAAAAGAAAAAAUUAAACAUGAAAUUUAUAUAUGAGAAUCCUUUAGUAUUAUAAACUUUGUAACAAGUAAAAGUUGGAAAUUCAGAGUUAAGUCUCAGACUGUUCCAUAACUCAUCCUAUUCAGAUACAAUAGAGUACAAUGAAAUUUCUACAGUGCCCUUUGUGCUAAUACCUCAGAGCACUUUACAGUGGAUAAAGUUAAAAUUAGCAACAUAGCACUCAAUUUCCUAAAGACAUUAUUUUAGAAAAACUAAGUAAAAUCAAUGCCUUAAAUGUUUGAAUUUAAAAUCCUAAUGACUGGAACUCUCUUUAUUUCAACUGGCAAUGUGUUCUAAAUCUAGUGAACAAAAUGGCUGAAGGCUUUAUGGAUUUAUAUCAUCAGAAAAAUGAUAGUUUUAUCAUCUACCAAAUUCAGGGUGCAUACUGAUACUAACAGCAGAUGUGUUAAGUAGGGAAAGCUAUGCAAUGGCCUGUAUGUCAAAUAAUAAAGUAAGACUGUUUUCAUUUCUACAACACGUUCCAUAUGGAUCUCAAAGUUCUCAUUGUAUUAGUUCUGAGGGAACAAAAUGAAGUAUUUACUAAUUUGCAGUAAUGUGCUUAGAGAGAAAUUUUGUGUACAUACUCAGAGCAGCUUUUUGCUAAACCAUCUGCCAAUUAGACAUGGUAAGGAAUGGCUUGUAUAGCAAGGAUGUGCGCUAGCGAGGCUUGUUAUAAGUGCUUAUAAUGCCCUCCUUCCCCUGCCUAUCUCACCUGUGGGGCUCAGUCUGGUAGUCUUUCUCAGAGGCUGCCUUAGAGCAUGUCUACUGGAUCAGACACCACACAGAACACAGCCAGAGAAGGAAGAGGUGGUGCCCCCCUUUGUAACUUUUAGCACAGCAGGUAGAGCCGUCGUCAGCUGUCCCUCGAUACGAGGAUGAUGUCUGCCAGGAGGAAAAAAGUCGUUGAUGAGACUUAAGAUGGCUGAGGAGUCCAAUCCGUGCUCUAGGUUUUUCCACAUAUAUAAUAGGUGGAUGCUUGGAAAGAACACAACUGAUGUACAGGAUGCGGUACAGCAGUGGUUCUCAAACUAGGGCCACUGUUUGUUCAGGGAAAGCCCCUGGCGGGCCAGGCCAGUUUGUUUACCUGCCGUGUCCGCAGGUUCGGCAGAUCGUGGCUCCCACUGGCUACGGAUCGCCGCUCCAGAUUUCAUUUUGGUUCUCCUAAACCAGAUUUUCUGGAAAUACUGUCUCACAAAAGAGUUUGCUUUUCUGCUUUUCAGCAAUUGGAUUGAUUUUCUUUUUUUUUUUAAGUGAAAUUUUUCAUGCUAAAGGAUUUCUAUUUUCUGGUCAGCUUUAUUAAGGACUAUUGAGGCAUUUUACAAGUGGAUACUGAAGGAAAUAUCUGUCUUCUGAUAGCCAAGCUUCCAUUUCCAAGAUAUUUUAAAUAUUUUUAUAUUGAGUUAGAUAAAACAAAAGUUAGCGUAUAAGUUUCUGCUACAUCUAGCAGAAGCAAACAUAUCAAUUUAACAAGGAAAUAAACAUGGACAUUCAAAAAUAUUGAAUUCAACCAGGGAUUCCAAGGCUCGUUUUAAGUUUUUGGGCUUUUUCUUAUUCUGUACACCAGUACUAUGUUGACUUUACAUUGCAAGCCCUAUGUAACCCAUUCUGCAUGAUGAGUGUUUUAGAUGAUUGUCAGUGUCAGGUUAUGCAGUUUGGGGCACGUGAGGAGAGGAUAUUUAGAACUUUCUGCAUGAUGCUGACUACUCAUAGAAACACAGAACUCAGAAAUGAAAACUAAUAGGACACCCAGUUCAGGAACCUUGCUAAAUGAAGAAUUGUUCCUUGUAGUUCUGAUCCGAUGUCCAUUGAAGUGAAUGGGAGUCAAAUCAGACCCUAUAUUCUAAUAUUUUGUACAGUCUAGUUUUAAAUGUGUCCCAGGCAAUGGCUUAUAGCUUUAUAUUUUGCUGUUCAGGAGAUUUUUCUGAUAGGUAAGCUAUUCUACCUUUCUUUCUUAGACCUAAGGCCCCCUCUAAAUAAUUCCCUCUAAUUUUUGGUGUUUAUUUGUAGAUUGUUAUCCUGUCCCUCUUUAGUUGUCCCUUAUGGAAAUUGCUCAUACAACAGUCAUCAUGGGGAACAUUUGUAGCUUGCCCCUACACUUAGAAUAGGCAAUAGUAUGCUAUUCCCAGCUGUUGUGCUGACUGAUAAUGGGCUUGCACAAAUAAUGAUCUUGAUUCAGGAGAGCACUUAAAUAUGUGCAUAAUUACCAUUAACUUCAAUGGGACUUAAGCACAUGCCCUGAAUCAGGGCCAAAGAGGAAAACAAAGGAAAAUCUCUAAAGUUAGAAAUGUAAUAAAAAUUAAACAGUGUUGCAAAUAUAUCUAUAUCUAUCUGUCUAUACUGGGAGAAAAAAAUUAUUUUCAAGCUUUUUAAGAGCAUUGUAAAUAGUCAUCAUCAACCAUGCAUAGUCUACUGGGGACCAUUGUGUCUGCCAUAAUGAUCACAGUUGAUGGCAUGGCACCAGGCAUUGUGUAUUCAAGGUUUCCCAAAUCUGGCUCAAUCCUAUGAAUUCCCAAAUCUCUGAGGUGACCCUGCAGGCAGUCCCAGAUAAGGUCAGUGUGUGCCCCCAUUUGAGUGUCGAUGGAGAGUUUGAGAGCACGGUGUGCUGGGGUGGUUUUGUCCCUUCUGGCGAUAUGGCCAAAGAGUAUGCAGUGCCACUUUUGAAUAUAAUAUAUUGCAAGAAAUGGAGAGUUUUACAAAAUAUACCCAGAAACCUAUGAUGUACUUUGCAGUUUCCUUUAAAGUGAUGAUAAAAUGUACUGGAAGAAUAAAAUAGUAUAUUGCUUGUAGACGACGUUUACUGAACUAUUCAUUUGGCUAUAGGCAAAUACAGAUCAAUGCCAACUGACUGAAGUGUAGUGGGGUAAUUUUUUUCCAGCUAGUUCUUCUAUAAUAAAUCUCUUUAAAUUUUUGACAUAGUCAGUCAUGUGCAUCAUAUUAUGUCAGGUUACAUCACAUGAUUUUAUGUAGCCUGCUGGUAACAUCACUUUGCAUUAUAGAUUUAAAGAAAUAUCACUUCUUUUCACAUAUGAGUAGAAGAUGGUAAUCAUCUGAUAGGAUUUCUUCUGCUACCCAUGAGAAGAAGCAGAGUAUCAGAUCUAAUACUUUCCACCCCCAACAAAUAACUUUCUGCAAAUGCUUGUGCAUGACAGAAUUCUAGCAGAUAGUGGAUAUUUCACAGCUGGUGAAUCUCUUAUUGCUUAACUUUGAUGUCUGCAUCUUAUCACUGUGCAAAUUAUUUAGCAACUGCCAUAUUAUUUAUAGGUAUGAAUUGCACAAAUUAAUCUAAUAAAUAAUUCAUUUUUUGCUGUGAAUUAAAAGGCUGCCACAGUUAAAAAUCUAUUUGUGAAGCCGGUAUCAAUUGUUAUGAUGUCUUGUACUUAAUUUCCUCAAGCCAAUUCAUUUUGAAAACUGUAAGUUACAAUGAAAAGAGUGUGAGUUUUUCUUUUUUCAACUUUACACACAUAGUCUACAGGAACCUUUUAGGUUGCAAAAAAUAUCAUCAUGCUCUUUAGUGAGAAUUCUGUCAUGUACAGGCAUUUACAGGAAGUAAUUUGAGGGGGGGGGAAACAUUGGCUCUCUUCCUAACAGUAUGGCAGUUUGUCACUACUAUGCCACAGGUUUGUAAACAAAAAAUGAUCUUAGGUGAAUACUGAUCCAUUUUAAUAACUUGAACCAAAAAAAAUGGCUUUUUCCCCCCACCCAUAGUAAGACAUAAGAAUGUCACUGCGGACCUAACAGAAAGACAGUCGCAAGUUUGUUUGCUAGUAGACUCCUAGGGAGCUGAACACAAAAAUCCAAUAAAUAAUUAGCUCUCCUGUGACAGGCUUCUGAAUUACUGUGAUACAUUAAUUGGACAAAAUUAGCAUGAAUUAAGGCAAAUAAGUAUAACAUGUAAUUUAUUACUUACUAAGCAUGGUGCUGCAGUGGAAGCCUCAGAUUUCCCUUAAGAUUGCUUUAACAGCUAUAAUGCAUUCCUUAAUUUACUCUGUGGAAAAUCAAUUUUUUCAGAGUUCAUUAAGCACCAAUAUGUUACAAUGCAACUCCCUAGAGCAUAGAGCCACAAUACAUUAUGCAAAUUCAUGGCAGCAUGGUACCAAUAUGUAAAUAGCAAUAAUACUAUUGUCAGUUGCCUAUUGAUAACCAUACAUGAAGCAUAAUAACGGAGACUUCUUAAAAUCUGUUGGUUUGUUUCUGAUAUUAAUCUGUACUCCUAUCAAAUGUCAUUUCUUAGGAGACUUGUGGUUCCAGAGAGAGAAAGCUUUUCUUAAUGGACCAUUAAUGUGAAUGUUCUGAAGUUUCUGUUUGCAAAGAAAUGGCAUUUAGGACUUUCCUGCACAUCUAUGAGCAUCAACCUUUUCAGAAUGAAAAUAGUUCUGUGUACAUGCAUAGUUGGACAUGGCUGUCUAUGGAUUAUGGAGAUGCAGGUUAAUACAUGGACAUGAAAAGCAUUCAUAGUUUAUAAGGCCUUAUGCAGAAAUCGAAUAAGCAUUAUUUUGCACACAAAAAGGUAAAAUACUAAGAUAAAUGGCAUGACUUCCAACCAAUCAAAUGUGAGUCACAAGAAACUGGCAUUAAGAGAACAAAGUCUUCCAGACUAUUUGAUAUUCACCUAAUCAUAUGAUGGACUCCAAAGCUAUGCCUCUGGGGCUCUUCAGGAGAUUGAUGUCACCAGUGGAAGGGUAAUUUCAACAUAAUUUUAUGUCAUAGAAAUUAGGAGGAAGAUGGUGGUGGUGAAACAAGAUACUUGUGGAAAGGUGAAUGGCCACAAGUCACCCUUCUACUUUUCUUUCUUGUAUCAAUUUGUUUUGAACAGUUUUCAUUUUGAUUAAAAAUGAAGAUCAAAAUUAGUCAGUUUAAAGACCGUAUGGUAUCAUUCCAUGGAUCUGCAAUAUAGCCCUUAGAAAGCAGAGAACUAUAUUGAAUUGAAAAUAUAAAUGUCUCAAUAGUUGGUUUAAGUCCAUAAUUAGACCCUGGUCCUGUGAGUUACUGUGCUUAGGAAAACCCUUGUGCCUACACAGAUCCCCAUUAUAGUUAAUGGGUCAGAGAUCCAGCAGCAUGCAGUGACCUGCAGAAUUGGGGCCUUUGGGAUUUUUUUUUUAAAUCAUGGAUGCUGUAGUGAUUAAUUUAUUAUAGUCAGGGCUAUAGACUAGCAGGGCCAAGCAACUUGGGCAAUCUCUUUUCAGCUGCAGAGGAAACAGCUGAUUGCAGCAACUGGUCCACCAAAGGAUAUUCUGUUACCUAUUGGCUUGGUAUGGGCAUGAUCAGAGUUACAUAUAGAGUUAUGCAGAAUUCUUCUGUCAACCUAGCUCCGUCUACUCUGGGAGUUAGGUCAUCUUACCUAUUCCACUCAGGGCAUAACCCUGAGCUACAUAGCUCUUUAGUGUAGACCAGGCCUUGGAGUGUCUGAGCUAAGUACAAGUGGGGAUUGACAGUUAAGCAUAAGGAAUAACAUAUUGCAGGAGGUCAUUUGAAAUGAACUCACACA